AGAUGCUGACUUGAGCCAAGACACAUCAGCUCCAGACAUAGCUGUUGAUUUUGGAAGGCCAAUCAAUGUGGGUCCCAGAAUUAAGAGCUCUUUUUGAGUUGAGAUGAGAUGACUGUUUGUAUUGUCAUCAUGGAGGGGGGGGGAGGCACAAAGUAAAAUGGGGGCAAAACCUGAGUGAACCUGAAGAUCUAUACUUCCAAGAUAUUUUAUUCAAGGCAACUGAACUCAUGCCUCUUUUCAGGUUGAGAUGAAAAGGGGUUCUUUGUUUGAAAUCAUUUCUUUCCCAGCAAAAACUGCUUUAACUAGCAUAAUGUAUGCUUCUUAUGCAGCACUAAUUUAUUUGGUAAGUUAACUGCUAGAUUGUAGAAAUAAAUGCAUUUCAUGCCUUGUUUUGAAGACAGCACUGUAUCUACCCUUCCUUAUCAGGAACUUUACUGUUUCUUUGUAUGUAGGGUUGUUUAUAAACUCUCUAUGUCUAGCUGCUUUGUCUAUUCAGUUUUACUGUGAAUCACUGGACCUUCAUAAAAACGUCUUUACAACUGGUAGAG
rnacentral:lncRNA from 1 species